GUUGUAAGCAUGUGCUUGGUCUUGCUAGAAAGGCAGUACCAAAUACUAAUAUAAUCUACAAAGUGGCGUCAAAAGGAACGACUUUUCCUUUUUGUUCCCAUGACCAGAUCAAGGGAAAAAAAGAUGCCUCAUCAACCAAAUAUUUGCACUGAUAAUUGUUGUUUGGAUUUGGGGAUUGUUCCGUAUCAUCUACUGUUUCUGUAGUAUCAUCUGAUUCUGCAUGGACAAGAGUUCGUUGCCUUGGAGAAGUAAUUAAAAUAUACGCAUGGGACUUGGAGAAUCUUCCUUGCGACUCGAAAGAAUCAGCAAGAUUGAAGCCCAAAAUCCAAGCACGAAAGCAGCUGAGAUGAACCCAAAAACAGAGCGCACUAAAGGUGUUUGAUAAAAUGCUUCAGUGAACCUUCUCAAAGAAAAGAUAGGGACAUCACGUCCGUCUGGGAGGAAGAAGACAAAUAGCAAUUACAAUUCGACACCUACGCACCCUGUGCGAGCACAUGACUUGUCCAUCAAGCUAGGAAAAAAGAAGAAGAGACAGACUGGCUAGUGGACGUAGCCAGGUCCAUGUGAAUUGUUGCAGACGAGACCCAGAAUCCCAGAUUGUAAUUAGAGCAGGCUGUUAAUGUAUUUGUCCACAUCCGACCUGCAAUGAAAUCUUCGUGUAUGAAUAAGGGUUUAGCAAUGUAUGAAAAUGUAUGGAUUUGGAAAAUACUUGAUUUCAUUACUCUUGUGGUUAUACACUGAGUUUUGGAUCAAUUUACUUUAUUGUCAAAUUGAAAAAUUUAUGUACUCAUGGACAUGACGGUCCGAGUCAAUACGAAA